AUGGCCGCGUCAUCGUCGUUCCCAUGGCCGGAGCCGUCCCCGACCCGUGAGGUUAUGCUCUGCAGCUCCGUUGGCCUCGUCUGCAUCGCCUACAACCUUCGGUUCGAGCUGAAGCCCUCCACAACCUCGCCAUCUGGUCGUCUUCCCCGCCACGGCCACGGCGCCAUCGCCGUCGAUCUCCAUCACCGGCGCCUCCCGGCGGUUCCAGACUACGAGACCGACGCUGCUGCUGCCCAGCUCGACUACGGAGUUGACGACCCCUCUCUCUUGCCAGAGCAACCAGAUGCUGGAGCCCUGGAGCCAGACGACUACUACCCCGGAGGUGCCUACUACUGCGUGCAGCCCGCUGACGACGAUCAGGAGUAG
rnacentral:rRNA from 1 species